rnacentral:rRNA from 1 species
GUUAUAUGGUCAAGUGACUAAGCGUACACGGUGGAUGCCUUGGCAGUCAGAGGCGAUGAAGGACGUGGUAAUCUGCGAUAAGCGUUGGCGAGCCGAUAAACAGGCUUUGACCCAACGAUUUCCGAAUGGGGCAACCCACUCACAUAAGUGAGUAUUCCUUACCUGAAUACAUAGGGUUUGGAAGGCGAACCCGGGGAACUGAAACAUCUAAGUACCCGGAGGAAAAGAAAUCAACCGAGAUUCCCCUAGUAGCGGCGAGCGAACGGGGACCAGCCCUUAAGCUGUUUAUGUGUUAGUGGAACGCUCUGGAAAGUGCGGCCAUAGUGGGUGAUAGCCCCGUACACGAAAAUGCAUUUACAGUGAAAUCGAGUAGGACGGAACACGCGAAAUUCUGUCUGAACAUGGGGGGACCAUCCUCCAAGGCUAAAUACUCCUGACUGACCGAUAGUGAACCAGUACCGUGAGGGAAAGGCGAAAAGAACCCCGUUGAGGGGAGUGAAAUAGAACCUGAAACCGUGUACGUACAAGCAGUGGGAGCAGACUUGUUCUGUGACUGCGUACCUUUUGUAUAAUGGGUCAGCGACUUAUUUUCUGUGGCAAGGUUAACCGUAUAGGGAAGCCGUAGCGAAAGCGAGUCUUAAUAGGGCGUCUGAGUCGCAGUGAAUAGACCCGAAACCGGGCGAUCUAUCCAUGAGCAGGUUGAAGAUCAGGUAACACUGAUUGGAGGACCGAACCCACUGUCGUUGAAAAGCCAGGGGAUGACUUGUGGAUAGGAGUGAAAGGCUAAUCAAGCCCGGAGAUAGCUGGUUCUCCUCGAAAGCUAUUUAGGUAGCGCCUCUUGUAUCACCAUUGGGGGUAGAGCACUGUUUGGGCUAGGGGGUCAUCCCGACUUACCAACCCCAUGCAAACUCCGAAUACCAAUGAGUGCAAUCAAGGGAGACACACGGCGGGUGCUAACGUCCGUCGUGGAAAGGGAAACAACCCAGACCGUCAGCUAAGGUCCCAAAGUAAUAGUUAAGUGGGAAACGAUGUGAGAAGGCCCAGACAGCCAGGAGGUUGGCUUAGAAGCAGCCACCCUUUAAAGAAAGCGUAAUAGCUCACUGGUCGAGUCGGCUCGCGCGGAAGAUGUAACGGGGCUCAAACUAUUCACCGAAGCUACGGGUUCAACAGUUUACUGUUGAGCGGUAGAGGAGCGUUCUGUAAGCCGUCGAAGGUCCACCGGGAGGUUGGCUGGAGGUAUCAGAAGUGCGAAUGCUGACAUGAGUAACGAUAAAGGGAGUGAGAUCCUCCCUCGCCNGGCCAGCCCGGUGAUGGUUAUCCGGGUUUAAAGUCGUAGGCAGUGGAAUCAGGCAAAUCCGGUUCCACUUAUGCCGAGAACUGAUGACGAACUGACUAAGGUCAGGAAGUGGUCGAUGCCAUGCUUCCAGGAAAAACUUCUAAGCAUCAGGUCAAGGGGGACCGUACCCCAAACCGACACAGGUGGUCAGGUAGAGNNNNNNNNNNNAGAGAAUACCAAGGCGCUUGAGAGAACUUGGGUGAAGGAACUAGGCAAAAUGGCACCGUAACUUCGGGAGAAGGUGCGCCGCUGAUGGUGAUGGAACUUGCUUCCUAAGCUAUCGGCGGUCGAAGAUACCAGGUGGCUGCGACUGUUUAUUAAAAACACAGCACUGUGCUAACACGUAAGUGGACGUAUACGGUGUGACGCC